GAUGAAGAACGUAGCGAAAUGCGAUAAGUAAUGUGAAUUGCAGAAUUCAGUGAAUCAUCGAAUCUUUGAACGCACAUUGCACCUCUCGGUAUUCCGGGAGGUAUGCCUGUUCGAGCGUCAUUUGUACCCUCAAGCUCUGCUUGGUGUUGGGUGUUUGUUCCGCCUCUGUGUGUGAACUCGCCUCAAAACAAUUGGCAGCCGGCGUACUUGUUUCGGAGCGCAGCACAUUUUGCGAUCCAGAUCAACGUACAGCGGCAUCCAAGAAGCCUUAUUUAACGCUCUUGACCUCGGAUCAGGUAGGGAUACCCGCUGAACUUAAGCAUAUCAUAAGCGGAGGA
rnacentral:misc_RNA from 1 species